GGGGAAGAGAAGGAAGAACCAAACCGCGCAGAUGAUUCGACCGUAUCCAUGACGACUAGAAGGGGAAUCGGAAAAUAAACGAGAGGAGAAACUGGCAGCUUCGGAAAAACUCCCCCCUGCCAUGCAUCUAGAACACAAGACUCCCAAGUGCAUUUGGUGCAACUUCUUUUAUUAUAUUUGUAUACCGAUUAUAAGGAUACAUACGAUGUUCAUCGCGUAAUCAUAGAUCAUGUACUUUCUGGAAUAUUCACAACGUAGUCAUGUGAUGAAGAUUAUCAAUUUUAUUGCGUAACGCAUCUGUUGUAAGAGGACAUAUUUCUAUUUGAAUAUAUCCGUGUAAUAUUUCCAAUGAUGUAAUAAAAUUGAUUUCCGAUCCAUCACCGAA
rnacentral:lncRNA from 1 species